UCCCUGGAGGACUAGUGGUUAGGCCACAUGCUCUCACCGUUGCAGCCCGGGUUCGAUUCCCGGCCAGGGAA
rnacentral:tRNA from 1 species